rnacentral:rRNA from 1 species
ACGAACGCUGGCGGCGUGCUUAACACCUGCCAGUCGAACGGAAAGGCCCUGCUUUUGUGGGGUGCUCGGGUGGCGAACGGGUGAGUAACACGUUAGUAACCUGCCCUUUACUUUGGGAUAACUUCAGGAAACUGGGGCUAAUACCGGAUAGGAGCUCCUGCUGCCUGGUGGGGGUUGGAAAGUUUCGGCGGUUGGGGAUGGACUCGCGGCUUAUCAGCUUGUUGGUGGGGUAGUGGCUUACCAAGGCUUUGACGGGUAGCCGGCCUGAGAGGGUGACCGGCCACAUUGGGACUGAGAUACGGCCCAGACUCCUACGGGAGGCAGCAGUGGGGAAUAUUGCACAAUGGGCGGAAGCCUGAUGCAGCAACGCCGCGUGCGGGAUGACGGCCUUCGGGUUGUAAACCGCUUUCGCCUGUGACGAAGCGUGAGUGACGGUAAUGGGUAAAGAAGCACCGGCUAACUACGUG